rnacentral:lncRNA from 1 species
GUCCAGAUCAUAAUCUUCUUGUGCCAUUGCAAGAAGUUUACCAUGUGUACUUGGCGCUGGCUUGAUACACAAAGGCGUACAAAGUGUGUCUUAGAGAACUCAAUCAGGUUCCGCACUUGUCGAUCAUUCAUGACAAGCAUAAGAAGAGUAUUCACAUAUUCGGAGUCAUUUGUUGUAAAAUGACGUUUGGUUAGCACCAUCUUCUCAUUUUGUUGUCCAGAUCAUAAUCUUCUUGUGCCAUUGCAAGAAGUUUACCAUGUGUACAACCAUCAUGCACAAGGAACAUUCUUCCUCCUUUCUGAUUAUUGACCACAAACUUCCACAAAGAAUCUUUCACCACCCAUUCUCCGUAUACAACAUGUAAGAGAGCUAUCUCCGGAAAAAAAUACAGUUUACAUAAUUAGCGGAGAAAUAUUUCAUGUUUCAUAAAACUAUAAAGGUAGACUUACAAAUACGUCUGCAAUUAUUAGCUAACAACAUAGUUAAAUCAAAAGUAUUAAAUUUUCAUAAUUAUAAC